CCUACGGGUGGCAGCAGUGAGGAAUAUUGGUCAAUGGACGAGAGCCUGAACCAGCCAAGCCGCGUGAAGGAUGACUGCCCUAGGGGUUGUAAACUCCUUUUAUAUGGGAAUAAAAUGUUCCACGUGUGGGAUUUCGUAUGUACCAUACGAAUAAGGAACGGCUAACCCAGUGCCAGCAGCCGCGGUAAUACGGUGGAUCCGAGCGUUACCCGGAUUUAUUGGGUUUAAAGGGAGCGUAGGUGGAUUGUUAAGUCAGUUGUGAAAGUUAGCGGCUCAACCGAAAGAUUGCAGUUGAAACUGGCAGUCUUGAGUACAGGAGAGGUGGGCGGAAUUCGUGGUGUAGCGGUGAAAUGCGUAGAUAUCACGAAGAACUCCGGUUGCGAAGGCAGCUCACUGGACUGCAACUGACACUGAGGCUCGAAAGUGUGGGUAUCAAACAGGAUUAGAUACCCCUGUAGUC
rnacentral:rRNA from 1 species